AGCAGGGUGGCUCAGUGGAAAGAGCAUGGGCUUGAGAAUCAGAAUACUUGAGUUCAAAUUCCGACUCUGCCA
rnacentral:tRNA from 1 species